AGUUGCCCAGAGCCUGAGAAGCGGGAUCCCAAGUUCAAUAAGAACGCCUGGAGGCCAGACCUUGCGAAAUCCGCAAAUGGGGUGCCUGCAGAGAGAAAGGCAGACACCACGCAUGAACCAGCAGCUGUAGUCCAAUCCUGAGGAAGCCGAAAGGCUUGCCAACUGGCCACGGCUGCUUCAGUGGCAAGCUGCCACAGGAACCUCAUAAGUUCUUGGGAUGUUUCUCUCAGUUAUUGGACCAGCUCCUGCCUUCAUGCCACCAUGCUCCCCACUAUGAUAAUGGACUACACCUAUGAAAAUGUGAGCAAGCCCCAGUAAAAUGUCUUCUUUGGUUGUGGCUCAUAAUCAUCUGUAAUGGGAUAUGAUGGACUCUUCUGGUGUGUCUGGGGACAGCAACAGUGUACUCAUACAAUCAAUCAAUCAAUCAAUCAAUAAAUAAAUGCAGAUUCAGUGGGCAAUGUAGCACCACAGUGUCCUGUGACAAACA